GGGCUUGCAAAUCCUUUUCAACCUGACAGCUCAAAAACCUAACUUGUUUUCUGAUUCCUCAGCUGUGACAGGUUGGUGGCGGUGUAUUUUUCACUUCAGAAGCUAAGAACUUUUGCUAGAAUAUGGAGGCCAGAGUAACUGGGCUUUAAUGCUAGAUUCUGCACAGAGAAGACAAAGGAAAAAACAAGAUGAAAUAUUUGGCAGAAUGCUGAAGAUGUGUUCCCAUGAGUUCCUGCCUCCUUGUACCCCACUGAGUGGAAUGUUAAAAAUACGGAGAAAGAAUUUAAGACCUGCCAGAUUGGAUCAUGCCAGUGUUUCCUAUAGCCUAAGAUUCUACCUUCAACUGUGGCAGUAAGAUAAAUUUUGUGCAAUUUCUACAGAUGCAGUCCCACCUCUGGCCAUGGCCAAAAUUAGCUGGAUAAUUCUUUGAAUCUGGCUAAUGUGGAAUCUUGCAAGGACAAAGAGGAUUUGCUCACGAACUGGGAAGAAUUAUCAUACCAAAUCAAUGAGGAUAUUUGCUGCCAAAGGCUUAGGCAUGGAGGCCAACUGGAUUCUCAUCCAUGACCCUGAUAGGACAUCCUGAACCCCAUUUAUGUUGUUUUAAGAGUGAUUCCAUAACCUCAAGAGGUAAGUGAUCAGUGACUUAGCCCAUUUCCCUGGGAUAAUGUUAUUACAUUACAUAAUAAGUCUGUAGUUUCCAUCCGAGUUGAUAAAAUCUUACGAUAUUGUAUUGUAUUUCUCCACACUCUAAAGAACUUGGAAGUUGAUGGGUUCUUGAGAUAUGUUAAUACUUUUCCCAUUGAUUCAUAUUCUUAGGGCCAUACAUAUCUUAAGAAUACUUACAUUUAUAUACAAUUGAAUUCCAGAUAUUUCAUUUUGCUUUGUCUGACUUGAGAUCGCAGUUUAUUGGCCAUUCUGAUAUUCCCCUGGCAUCAGAAAUUGCCCUUCAACUGAUGUAUUUACUAGUUUCUAUAUUCUCUAUUGAUACAAUAAAUUAAUCAAUAAUGCCUCAUGAAUGAGAAAUAAAACUCCAUAGAAAUGCA
rnacentral:lncRNA from 1 species